GAUUGAACGCUGGCGGCAGGCCUAACCCAUGCAAGUCGAACGGUAACAGAAAGCAGCUUGCUGCUUUGCUGACGAGUGGCGGACGGGUGAGUAAUGUCUGGGAAACUGCCUGAUGGAGGGGGAUAACUACUGGAAACGGUAGCUAAUACCGCAUAACGUCGCAAGACCAAAGAGGGGGACCUUCGGGCCUCUUGCCAUCGGAUGUGCCCAGAUGGGAUUAGCUAGUAGGUGGGGUAACGGCUCACCUAGGCGACGAUCCCUAGCUGGUCUGAGAGGAUGACCAGCCACACUGGAACUGAGACACGGUCCAGACUCCUACGGGAGGCAGCAGUGGGGAAUAUUGCACAAUGGGCGCAAGCCUGAUGCAGCCAUGCCGCGUGUAUGAAGAAGGCCUUCGGGUUGUAAAGUACUUUCAGCGGGGAGGAAGGGAGUAAAGUUAAUACCUUUGCUCAUUGACGUUACCCGCAGAAGAAGCACCGGCUAACUCCGUG
rnacentral:rRNA from 1 species